rnacentral:rRNA from 1 species
GAUGAACGCUGGCGGCGUGCCUAACACAUGCAAGUCGUACGAGCUCGAUCUUCGGAACGGGUUAGUGGCGCACGGGUGAGUAACACGUAGGUGACCUACCCCAGAGUGGGGGAUAACUUCUCGAAAGAGAGGCUAAUACCGCAUACACUCGGUCAUUCAUUUGGCCGAGCAAAGCUCCGGCGCUUUGGGACGGGCCUGCGUCCGAUUAGCUAGUUGGUAGGGUAAUGGCUUACCAAGGCUUUGAUCGGUAGCUGGUCUGAGAGGACGAUCAGCCACACUGGCACUGACACACGGGCCAGACUCCUACGGGAGGCAGCAGUGAGGAAUAUUGGGCAAUGGGCGAAAGCCUGACCCAGCAACGCCGCGUGAGGGAUGAAGGCCUUCGGGUUGUAAACCUCUUUCUGGAGAAGAGACAAGGACGGUAUCCCAGGAAUAAGUCUCGGCUAACUACGUGCCAGCAGCCGCGGUAA